rnacentral:tRNA from 1 species
GGAGGAGUCGGAUAGUGGUCCAUUCCACAGCAUUGGAAAUGCUGCGUGCGCAAGCAUACGUGGGUUCGAAUCCCACCUCCUCCG